GGGAUGACACUUCAGGCGUCGCCUCCCCCCAUCGCGGGGCAGGGCGGCGGGACGAAGCGCUUUUCCCCCCGCUUCCCGGCCAAGCAAACCCGGGCACGACACCUGCCCCGGGGGCGGGGGAUUUAAGGCUCGCCCUCGCCCCCCGACCCGCUCCCUGAGGCUCCGGCGGGGCUCCUCCCGUCGGGCCGGGAGUCCCCCGGUGUCCCACCCCCGCUGGCCCGGGGGAAGGCAGGGCGCAGCCCAGCAGCGGAAAGCAGAGCCCGGGGUGCCCGGAGCCUGGGCGGCCCCAGCCCGGCCAGCACCCCCGCGGGGCAGGGAAGCGAGACCGGCUUUCUCCCGGUGCUUUACCUCUGUACACCGGGGAACUGGGGCUCCGUCUCUCAGGCACAACAAACAGGACUCAAUUUUAUUUGGAACUUAUCAUCACUGUUCCUUUACCAGCCAAAUGGGAUGCUGUUGAGUGACAUGGUGGACUCCACUGUUUUCUAGAAGAAAGCUUGAAAUACAUAUAUGAAAGAACUUGUGAGAGACAAAAGAUGUAAGGGCAACUGAAAAUGGCAUUAUCAGCCUGGAACAACAAACUGCACAGUAAGAGAAGAGAUAAGAUUACAGGCAUGCUGCUGGAGCUGUCUCUGGCAGCAGCUGGCUCCCUGCAUAGACAGCCAAAGGAAGAGAGGACAAGCCAGAGGGUUAUUCUCAUCUUAAUUGUGCACAAAGAGCUCCUCUUUCCCGUCCCUCCUCCCAGCAGAUGGAAACUAGGAUGACUGGGAUUGUAAUUAGGCACAUCAGCAUGGAGGAAGCAGAGAAGAGAGAAGAUUUGUGUCUGAGAAAUUCAUGCUCAGGCUUUGUGGCCUGGCCUGGGCCAGCACACCACCAGGCACUUUGGAAAGGCACCUGUAAGGUCAGGCUGGACAGAUCUGGGACAAAAGGAUCAGGGAGGAAAUCCUCAGGUGCUCCAGGGUGAAGCCCUCUCCUCUGUGACCACACAAGUGUGCAUUUGCUGACUGUCAUAUCAGGGUUUGGAUCACACUGCACAGAAACAGCAGAAACCAGAUCUGUAACCACCACCUUGACUGACCUGCUGGACACAACAUUGUCUGGUUCCAUCUCUGACUCUGUCAGCAGGGAGUUGUCUGUAAGGCCCAUCUCCCAGUCAGCCUUCUGACAGGCUGCUUUGGAUGCAGUUGUUCUUUGAUUUAUCUUUGAACACGUGCCAUAAAGCAUCAAUCCAAUUUUAGGGACAUCCUCAAGCAAGGGAGAGGUUUGAGGCCCAGCCUCUGCUAAAGGGAGAGCAGUCAGGAGACACAUUCCCAGUACCCUUGCUCAUUCAUGGUGCUUUGUUGGGUGUAAAUUUUACCCUUUACAAGAGACAAUUAAGGAUGAAGACCAAAUGUCUAUACCUACUGUCCACAUUUCUCAUCAUGGUGAAUACAAUCUCCUCCCUACUCUCCUUUGCUGCUCCUUUCCUUUAGAAAGGACACCUGUGAGUGCAACAGAGCUCAAAUCUGACAAGAUGUAAUUAUUUUAGAUAAAUUGUCUAACUUUAGGCAAAAAAUUAUUGCAAAAAUUACAUACCAAGUCAGCUAGCAAAUAAAGAACCAGUAUUGUGAGUUUGUUUGGUCUUCAACAGUGCAUUACAGCUCUGCUUCUAGACCAGCUCAGCUGCAGAAACAUUUCAGAUUCAAAAUGGACAGCUUGAAUGGAAACAUGCUAUUUGUAGAAUGAUCCAUUUUUUAGCUACUGGAUAUAAAAUAAUAAUUAAAAUUAUUUUAGUGCUUUGAGUAUGUAUUAACUAAAAAACUCAGAAAACAAAACAGUUCUGAACAACUUCAUAAAAUUAAUUCCUUCUUCAAUGUGGCCUGAGUAUCUGAGUACUUCCCAGCUCCCAGCCACAGUAUUCUCCAAGCAGUGUCAUGGAUGCCACCUAAACCAUUCCAAGUCAGCAACACAGCACACAGAAUCCAUCAGAUGAGAGU